UCCACGCCCUAAACGAUGUCAACUAGGUGUUGGGAGGGUAAAACCUUUUAGUACCGGAGCUAACGCGUGAAGUUGACCGCCUGGGGAGUACGGCCGCAAGGUUAAAACUCAAAGGAAUUGACGGGGACCCGCACAAGCGGUGGAUGAUGUGGAUUAAUUCGAUGCAACGCGAAAAACCUUACCUACCCUUGACAUGUCCAGAAGCUCUUAGAGAUUUGAGUGUGCCCGAAAGGGAGCUGGAACACAGGUGCUGCAUGGCUGUCGUCAGCUCGUGUCGUGAGAUGUUGGGUUAAGUCCCGCAACGAGCGCAACCCUUGUCGUUAAUUGCCAUCAUUUAGUUGGGCACUUUAACGAGACUGCCGGUGACAAACCGGAGGAAGGUGGGGAUGACGUCAAGUCCUCAUGGCCCU
rnacentral:rRNA from 1 species